GAUGAACGCUGGCGGCGUGCCUAAUACAUGCAAGCCGAGCGAAUGGAUUAAGAGCUUGCUCUUAUGAAGUUAGCGGCGGACGGGUGAGUAACACGUGGGUAACCUGCUCAUAAGACUGGGAUAACUCCGGGAAACCGGGGCUAAUACCGGAUAACAUUUUGAACCGCAUGGUUUGAAAUUGAAAGGCGGCUUCGGCUGUCGCUUAUGGAUGGACCCGCGUCGCAUUAGCUAGUUGGUGAGGUAACGGCUCACCAAGGCAACGAUGCGUAGCCGACCUGAGAGGGUGAUCGGCCACACUGGGACUGAGACACGGCCCAGACUCCUACGGGAGGCAGCAGUAGGGAAUCUUCCGCAAUGGACGAAAGUCUGACGGAGCAACGCCGCGUGAGUGAUGAAGGCUUUCGGGUCGUAAAACUCUGUUGUUAGGGAAGAACAAGUGCUAGUUGAAUAAGCUGGCACCUUGACGGUACCUAACCAGAAAGCCACGGCUAACUACGUGCCAGCCGCCGCGGUAA
rnacentral:rRNA from 1 species